UACGGAGGGUGCAAGCGUUAUCCGGAUUCACUGGGUUUAAAGGGUGCGUAGGCGGGCAGGUAAGUCCGUGGUGAAAUCUCUGAGCUUAACUCAGAAACUGCCAUGGAUACUAUUUGUCUUGAAUAUUGUGGAGGUAAGCGGAAUAUGUCAUGUAGCGGUGAAAUGCUUAGAUAUGACAUAGAACACCCAAUUGCGAAGGCAGCUU
rnacentral:rRNA from 1 species